rnacentral:rRNA from 1 species
CACACCGCCCGUCGCUACUACCGAUUGAAUGGCUCAGUGAGGCCUUGGGAUUGGCCAGGGGAGGUGGGCGACCACCACCCCAGGCCGAAAACUUGGUCAAACUUGGUCAUUUAGAGGAAGUAAAAGUCGUAACAAGGUUUCCGCAGACGUCAGUCUCGGGAUAAGUUGAUGCAUCCUUCUGCAGUGAACACUUAUUGGAAGCCUUUAAGAGCUGCCGGAAACGGUGAGGUUUCGACGACUGUAAACAACAGAAACCCAAGAGCUAGUGGAAGACCGGCCGUCUGGCGGGCGUUCUUUCGCGACACUGUCAAAUUGCGGGGAUCCCCUUAGAGCUUGUCGCUACCAAGCGCCGUCUCGAACAGAGCGGCGUGGCCAGGGUAAUUCCCUCGGGUACGGUCACAACGCGCAAGAUUGGGUAACCUGCAGCCAAGUCCUACCGGCCGUUUUAGGCCCACGGAUGCUGUUCACAGACUAAAUGGUAGUGGGUGACGAAGCCCUCCGUCGUUGGAGGGUAGAGUCGCUUAAGAUAUAGUCGGGCUCCCGGGGAGACUCGGGGGAAAAGUUCACAAGGCCGUGGGGGCGACCCCCUCACGGACCUGCACCAUAAACCGUUCCGUAGGUGAACCUGCGGAAGGAUCAUUA